GAUGAACGCUGGCGGCGUGCCUAAUACAUGCAAGUCGAGCGAACAGAUGAGGAGCUUGCUCCUCUGACGUUAGCGGCGGACGGGUGAGUAACACGUGGAUAACCUACCUAUAAGACUGGGAUAACUUCGGGAAACCGGAGCUAAUACCGGAUAAUAUAUUGAACCGCAUGGUUCAAUAGUGAAAGACGGUUUUGCUGUCACUUAUAGAUGGAUCCGCGCCGCAUUUGCUAGUUGGUAAGGUAACGGCUUACCAAGGCAACGAUGCGUAGCAGACCUGAGAGGGUGAUCGGCCACACUGGAACUGAGACACGGUCCAGACUCCUACGGGAGGCAGCAGUAGGGAAUCUUCCGCAAUGGGCGAAAGCCUGACGGAGCAACGCCGCGUGAGUGAUGAAGGUCUUCGGAUCGUAAAACUCUGUUAUUAGGGAAGAACAAAUGUGUAAGUAACUAUGCACGUCUUGACGGUACCUAAUCAGAAAGCCACGGCUAACUACGUG
rnacentral:rRNA from 1 species